GUCAGAGAUCCACAAAGAGCAGUUGUUAUGCAAUAGUUAAUAGUAAUAUUAGUGAUGGAUAACUCUUGGCUUAUUUUAGCCUGAAGAAAGAAUCUGGGAGUUCACGUGUGUAUACACACAUACUUGAGAAAAACAAGAGCAUGGGUUUGAACAGCGGUCACAGCCUGCACAAAGGAGGGCUUUUUUUGCCCAAUACAUUAUCAAAGCUGCAGUCCUGUGGCUUCCUAAAGCAACUGAAGUCUUACAUUUUAUUCUUACAACAAGUUUAAACAGUCUCAGGAAUGUUCAUGUAAAACUACAUCUUAAAUCAGAUAAAAAUCAAGUAGUUAGACAACAAAGGCAUUUAUAUAAGCAACACUAUCUUCAGGUAGAUCUCUGCUAAAGGUUCACAGCUUUAGCAAUACCCAAACCCAUAACCUCUGGCAGGAUCUUGAAAGCCUUCUGGCUGCAGGUUGUUAGGCCAGGGGCCUCUCCCUGUCUAGUCUGGGCAAUCUGCCACAGACAGAAUGACAAAGCAAAAAAUGCUUUGUAUCAUGUGCUCGCACUCCAUAAGAUUCCAUCCAUUAAUGGCAUCCAUUAAUGGCAAUUACCAUAACCCCCUGCUGGCAAAUCGAUACUUUCCUGGAAUCAGUUUGCAUGUACCGUCUCUCAGACUAAGGCUGCUCACCUGGAUCAGUGAGCUGCUCCAAGCAGUCCUCAGAGAUGCAACACUCAGGACAGCUCUCUUUGCUGGACAGAGCUUCCUCAUGCACCAAAGUCCACGCUGGUCCUGAGGCCUGGCCUCUGAACUUUAGACCCAGGUAACUCCUGGCAGGGGUGUGUGAAAAAAGGCAUGGCUGCUUUCAGAGGCCUUGACCACGGGGGCAGCUGGCAAGCCCUGCAGAACAACCUGUUUAUGAGCAGAAAUGCUCCAGGAUAAGAACUGCCUUGUUCUGCAGAAGAACACACCAAGGGAUCGAAUCAUACAGCGUGGGAUAUGCAAGCUCCAGCCCUUAGCUGCUCACCAGGAAGGGGCUGAAGGCUCUGCAAGGCAAAGGUGUGUUCUGAUUUAGUUUGGUUCCAUAUGCCACACAGCAAGACAUUAUUAAAAGGAAAGAACUCCGCAAUGUUUUUGUGACAAAAUAAUAUAAUUAAAAAAUAGCUGUCUUCAGUA